GUGUAGAUGGGCCACAGUCACCGUGGAUAACAUGGCAUUCAAAUUGGAGAUUUCUUAUAAUAGCCUUCUUACAAAUAACUUUAUUCUCCAAAACCCAAAAAGAAAAAAACGAUUCUUAAUAUUAGCAUUACUUUCAACUUUUAAAAUUUUUGUAAGCUUGAAAAUAUUUUUAUAUGCACACUCUAAUAGAUAGUUUACACAAAAUAAAUAAAGUAAUAAUAAAAUGUUGAUUAGUGACUUGUUAAGCUGCGAUUUUGUUAUAGACUUAUGGCACUGAGUGUUUUGAAUUUUGAAUUUAUGACAAGUGAUUUGUGAUUUGUGAUUAGUGAUUAGUUAUCUUGUUAUGCUACUGGAUUGAUUUAAUUUAGAGGUGAUUAUUUUGACUUUGUUUUGUGUACAGGAUAAUUUUUUCGUACUGGUAAAGACAACAGAAGUUGCUGCGGUACCGUUUAUAACAACUUCAUAUGGCAUCUCAAAAUGAAGGAACUAAGCACAGGAGGAUAUGAUGUGAAGAAAAUAUGUUCAAUACAAAUAUAAGAUGGGAUGGGUCUUAUAAUGAUUUUGGUUAUCUAAAUGUAUUAUUUUGAUGUCUUCUUUACAUUUUGAUAAGAGAUUUUAUUCGAUAAUACAUGUAAUGGAUAAAUUACACUCUAUUUUGAUUAGUGUUGUAAUGGAUAUCUACUUUUUAAUGAAACUUUUAUGAUU